AUUGAACGCUGGCGGCAUGCCUUACACAUGCAAGUCGAACGGCAGCACGGGUGCUUGCACCUGGUGGCGAGUGGCGAACGGGUGAGUAAUACAUCGGAACAUGUCCUGUAGUGGGGGAUAGCCCGGCGAAAGCCGGAUUAAUACCGCAUACGAUCUACGGAUGAAAGCGGGGGACCUUCGGGCCUCGCGCUAUAGGGUUGGCCGAUGGCUGAUUAGCUAGUUGGUGGGGUAAAGGCCUACCAAGGCGACGAUCAGCAGCUGGUCUGAGAGGACGACCAGCCACACUGGGACUGGGACACGGCCCAGACUCCUACGGGAGGCAGCAGUGGGGAAUUUUGGACAAUGGGCGAAAGCCUGAUCCAGCAAUGCCGCGUGUGUGAAGAAGGCCUUCGGGUUGUAAAGCACUUUUGUCCGGAAAGAAAUCCUUGGCCCUAAUACGGUCGGGGGAUGACGGUACCGGAAGAAUAAGCACCGGCUAACUACGUG
rnacentral:rRNA from 1 species